GCAACGCCGCGUGGGUGAUGAAGGCCUUCGGGUCGUAAAACCCUUUUCUGGGGGAAGAGUAAGGACGGUACCCCAGGAAUAAGCCUCGGCUAACUAUGUGCCAGCAGCCGCGGUAAUACAUAGGAGGCAAGCGUUAUCCGGAUUUACUGGGCGUAAAGAGCGUUGAGGCGGCUUCGUAAGUUGGACGUGAAAGCUCCCGGCUUAACUGGGAGAGGCCGUUCAAUACUGCGGGGCUUGAGGACAGCAGAGGGGGGUGGAAUUUCCGGUGUAGUGGUGAAAUGCGUAGAUAUCGGAAGGAACACCAGUGGCGAAGGCGGCCCCCUGGGCUGCUCCUGACGCUGAAGGCGAAAGCUAGGGUAGCGAACGGGAUUAGAAACCCCGGUAGUCCUAGCCGUAAACGAUGGAUACUAGGUGUAGGAGGUUAAAAUUCCUUCUGUGCCGGAGCUAACGCGUUAAGUAUCCCGCCUGGGGAGUACGGUCGCAAGGCUAAAACUCAAAGGAAUUGACGGGGGCCCGCACAAGCAGCGGAGCGUGUGGUUUAAUUCGAUGCAACGCGAAGAACCUUACCAGGGCUUGACAUGUAGGUAGUAGUGAAGCGAAAGCGGAACGAUCCUUCGGGAAGCCUACACAGGUGCUGCAUGGCUGUCGUCAGCUCGUGCCGUGAGGUGUUAGGUUAAGUCCUGUAACGAGCGCAACCCCUGCCGUUAGUUACAAGUGUCUAACGGGACUGCCCGGCAAAACUUGGAGGAAGGUGGGGAUGACGUCAAGUCAGCAUGGCCUUUAUGUCCUGGGCUACACACACGCUACAAUGGCCGGUACAAUGGGUUGCCAAGCCGCGAGGCGGAGCCAAUCCUCUAAAGCCGGUCUCAGUUCGGAUUGUAGGCUGCAACCCGCCUGCAUGAAGUUGGAGUUG
rnacentral:rRNA from 1 species